rnacentral:rRNA from 1 species
GCGGUGAAAUGCGUAGAUAUUAGGAGGAACACCGGUGGCGAAGGCGCCACUCUGGGCCGAAACUGACGCUGAGGAGCGAAAGCAUGGGUAGCAAACAGGAUUAGAUACCCUGGUAGUCCAUGCCGUAAACGUUGGGCACUAGGUGUGGGUUCCAACCAACGGAAUCCGCGCCGUCGCUAACGCAUUAAGUGCCCCGCCUGGGGAGUACGGCCGCAAGGUUAAAACUCAAAGGAAUUGACGG